GCUCGAUUAGCUCAGUUGGUUAGAGCAUUAGACUAAUGCUGUUAUCUAAAGGCCACUGGUUCAACCCCAGUAUCGAGCA